CUACCCUUCCUAGUUGGUACCUGUAGAUGUAAUGCAUCUCCUAAGGUAUUACUCUAGGCUCCAUCGGACAGAACAACUACCUGGAGAGUUUAAGAUGCAAUGGCCAGAAGACAUGAGCGUGUCACUAGAAGGAUGUGGACGUGGGCUCCGGGGCUGUUGAUGAUGACGGUGGUCUUUUGGGGUCAUCAGGGGAAUGGACAAGGCCAAGGUGGUGUGUGCAUGAGAAAGUGCUUAACAUCUGAAAACGGAG